rnacentral:rRNA from 1 species
UACGUAGGGGGCAAGCGUUGUCCGGAAUCAUUGGGCGUAAAGGGCGCGUAGGCGGCCCAGUAAGUCCGUUGUAAAAGUCAAAGGCUCAACCUUUGAAUGCCGAUGGAUACUGCUGGGCUAGAGUCCGGAAGAGGCGAGUGGAAUUCCUGGUGUAGCGGUGGAAUGCGCAGAUAUCAGGAGGAACACCGAUAGCGAAGGCAGCU